UCCACGCCCUAAACGAUGGACACUAGGUGCAGGUGGUAUUGAAUCCGUCUGUGCCGUCGCUAACGCAUUAAGUGUCCCGCCUGGGGAGUAUGGCCGCAAGGUUGAAACACAAAGGAAUUGACGGGGGCCCGCACAAGCGGUGGAGUAUGUGGUUUAAUUCGACGCAACGCGAAGAACUUACCUGGGUUUGACAUCUCGGGAAUCCUGUGGAGACAUGGGAGUGCUCUGCAAGGAGAGCCCGAAGACAGGUGCUGCAUGGCUGUCGUCAGCUCGCGUCGUGAGAUGUUGGGUUAAGUCCCGCAACGAGCGCAACCCUCGCCUUUAGUUGCCAGCAUUUAGUUGGGCACUCUAGAGGGACUGCCGGUGUUAAACCGGAGAAAGGUGGGGAUGACGUCAAGUCCUCAUGCCCCUUAUGUCCAGGGCUACACACGUACUACAAUGGUCGGUACAGAGGGUAGCGAGCCUGUGAGGGUGAGCCAAUCUCAGAAAGCCGAUCUCAGUUCGGAUUGGAGUCUGCAACUCGACUCCAUGAAGUUGGAAUCGCUAGUAAUCGCGGAUCAGCAUGCCGCGGUGAAUACGUUCCCGGGCCUUGUACACACCGCCCGUCACACCACGAGAGUUGGUUAUACCAGAAGUC
rnacentral:rRNA from 1 species